AUGUCUAGAGUGCUCAAGCACAGAGCUAGACACUGCAGAUCUCGAGACAAAACGAACCCCCCCCCGACGUCAGCGAGCAUAAUUGUACUGAAGCUUACGUGGUACCAAGUCUGCACAUCCAGGGCGAGCUAUGAUUCAACUCCGAGGCUCCAGCUUGUCAGGAUCCUGCCGCUGUCAUUCACUGCCUGCUGGCCUUCCCCAUCUUGUCUCCUCAGCACAUUUGAUGAGUCCUAAUCCAGAUCAUUAACAAACACUUAAAACAGGCCAGGGCCAGGAGCACAAAGAAGCCCAGGACACUGUCUUUGAGUUGGCUAUCCCACUCGCUCCCAAUCCAUCGCGGCAUAGUGCUUGUUGCCUAGUCUCCAUCUCCAUCUCUGCCAGAACACUAGCUGAUAAGGCAAUCCAGGCGGGACAUGCAUCUUACCUACUCUUCUAGUCAGCCUGUCCGGAAAGGAAAGGAGCCCAGGAGCUCCACUUGAAAGCGCUUGCAAGCCCAGGCCCUUCAAAUAAAAAACCAGCUGCCUAAACCCA
rnacentral:lncRNA from 1 species